GGCGUAAAGAGCUCGUAGGCGGUUUGUCACGUCUGCUGUGAAAUUCCGAGGCUCAACCUCGGACUUGCAGUGGGUACGGGCAGGCUAGAGUGCGGUAGGGGAGAUGGGAAUUCCUGGUGUAGCGGUGGAAUGCGCAGAUAUCAGGAGGAACACCAAUGGCGAAGGCACAUCUCUGGGCCGUAACUGACGCUGAGGAGCGAAAGCGUGGGGAGCGAACAGGAUUAGAUACCCUGGUAGUCCACGCCGUAAACGGUGGGUGCUAGCUGUGGGCCACAUUCCACGUGGUCCGUGACGAAGUUAACACAUUAAGCACCCCGCCUGGGGAGUACGGCCGCAAGGCUAAAACUCAAAGGAAUUGACGGGGGCCCGCACAAGCGGCGGAGCAUGCGGAUUAAUUCGAUGCAACGCGAAGAACCUUACCAAGGCUUGACAUAUAGAGGAAAAGUGCAGAAAUGUACUCCCCGCAAGGUCUCUAUACAGGUGGUGCAUGGUUGUCGUCAGCUCGUGUCGUGAGAUGUUGGGUUAAGUCCCGCAACGAGCGCAACCCUCGUCCUAUGUUGCCAGCACGUAAUGGUGGGAACUCAUGGGAUACUGCCGGGGUC
rnacentral:rRNA from 1 species